CUCAAACACCAAUCAUUUGCACAUGAUUACUCUCUGCCUCUAUAAUUCUAUGUUCUUGAUUCAUGUUGCACGGCCAUGAAAAGGCAAGGCUAAAAGUUGGCGCAAUGGGUGAACAAGCGGCAACCCUAAACAGCUCAAGAUGAUAACCUUCCAUUAGAAGAUGCAGUUUGGAUGCUUUCCAUGCACUCACCUUUGCUUGUGGCAGAUUGGGAAGAAGAACUGGAUGGAAGCGAGUAAAUGGCGUUGCAGGUAGAAUUGUGGCCAUGGGAGUUUGUCCGAUAGCGUUUGGGCUUGUGGCUUGUUGACGACGGGGCGACAAAGUACAGGGAACCCCCACAAAUAAUUCGAGUAGGUCCAAGAAAUGUUGGGCAUCCCGAGAGGCUCAUGACGAGGCACAAGGCAUUAUUGGGAGUACGGAUGGAUGGAUCGCCGAAGCAUGCAGUCCACGGCGUGGAUUUGGCUCCCUCGGUCGGACCUACCAUGGCCUGUGGCCACGGAAAGAUCUCGAGCAGUAGCUGAGCCAUGUCUGCGACACGCCGUGGCCUCACCUAACACUUAUCCAUCGAUCCCUUAUACAUCUUCUUCUCGCUCAUCCCUAUCAACAAGCAGCGAGCAGUUUGCGCUGCUGCGAUCGCGCGAUGUCAGGCCACCGGCGACAAGCCUCCCAGUCUCUCCCGGCGUCGUUCGACGUUACGGCGGAGGAGGAGCCGCCGCCCAAGGUGGCGCCUGAGGGCGCGGGUCAUGGCAAUGCUGACGGUGGGAAGUCCCUGGGUGGUGAUGCUGCAAGGAAGGCGCUGCCGCCCGGCGGGGAAAGCUCUGGUGUUAAGUCCAAGGAGAAGCCCUCCGCUGUUGCGUCUUGAGUAGAAGAUGGUGUAGUGAUGAAGAGGAUCGAGAGAGUGUCUCUGCUCUCUCUCUGCUCUCUCUCUCUCUCUCUGCUCUCUCUCUCUCUCUCUCUCUCUCUCUUUAGUAGUAGUACUAGUGCUACUUGGUUAACCUUUUGCAGUUCACGUAAGAAUAAUUCCAUGUGUGCUUGUCCA